CCUACGGGAGGCAGCAGUGGGGAAUAUUGGACAAUGGGGGGAACCCUGAUCCAGCGACGCCGCGUGAGUGAAGAAGUAUUUCGGUAUGUAAAGCUCUAUCAGCAGGGAAGAAAGACAUGACGGUACCUGACUAAUAAGCCCCGGCUAACUACGUGCCAGCAGCCGCGGUAAUACGUAGGGGGCAAGCGUUAUCCGGAUUUACUGGGUGUACAGGGAGCGUAGACGGCGAUGCAAGUCUGAAGUGAAAGGCGGGGGCCCAACCCCCGGACUGCUUUGGAAACUGUAUGGCUGGAGUGGAGGAGAGGUAAGUGGAAUGCCUAGUGUAGCGGUGAAAUGCGUAGAUAUUAGGAGGAACACCAGUGGCGAAGGCGGCUUACUGGACUCUAACUGACGUUGAGGCUCGAAAGCGUGGGGAGCAAACAGGAUUAGAUACCCCUGUAGUC
rnacentral:rRNA from 1 species